CCUACGGGUGGCUGCAGUGGGGAAUAUUGCACAAUGGGCGAAAGCCUGAUGCAGCAACGCCGCGUGAGCGAUGAAGGCCUUCGGGUCGUAAAGCUCUGUUCUCAAGGAAGAUAAUGACGGUGCUUGAGGACGAAGCCCCGGCAAAUUACGACCCAGCAGCAGCGGUAAUACUAAGGGGGCUGGGGUUAUCCGGCUUAAUUGGGGUAAGAGGGUGCGUAGGCGGAAUGCCAGGUCAUCGGUAAAAUCGCGGGGCUCAACCUCGUUCCGCCGUUGAAACUGGCGUUCUUGAGUGGGCGAGAGGUAUACGGAAUGCGUGGUGUAGCGGUGAAAUGCAUAGAUAUCACGAAGAACACCGAUUGCGAAGGCAGCAUGCCGGCGACCAACUGACGCUGAAGCACGAAAGCGUGGGUAUCGAACAGGAUUAGAUACCCGAGUAGUC
rnacentral:rRNA from 1 species